rnacentral:rRNA from 1 species
CAGCAGCCGCGGGAAUACGUAGGUGGCAAGCGCUGUCCGGAAUUAUUGGGCGUAAAGGGCUCGCAGGCGGUUUCUUAAGUCUGGUGUGAAAGCCCCCGGCUCAACCGGGGAGGGUCAUUGGAAACUGGGAAACUUGAGUGCAGAAGAGGAGAGUGGAAUUCCACGUGUAGCGGUGAAAUGCGUAGAGAUGUGGAGGAACACCAGUGGCGAAGGCGACUCUCUGGUCUGUAACUGACGCUGAGGAGCGAAAGCGUGGGGAGCGAACAGGAUUAGAUACCCCUGUAGUCCCUGUCUCUUAUAC